CAAGUUCAAGUUGGAACGUCUCCAUGAUCUUAUGUGAAAGCAUCUUAAAGGCAAACUUCGUACAUUGUCAAUUGUUCUAGAGACACAGUAAAAGUAUGUUAUACUUUCUUGUAUUCAUCAAGCCUUGUGUUUGGUUUGGUAAGAUUAUUCUUGUUGUACCCACUAUUUUUUAUUGGAAGAUUGAUCGCUGCAUGUGGACAUAGGCACAAAUUGUCGAACCACGUAAAUCCUUGGUGUCCAUCUUUCUACUGUACUUUGUGUUUUCUCUAUCAUGUAGUACUGUCAAUCUUAACAAUCUAAGUACAGUAACGAGCAAGCGUUUUAUUUUAUGAGCACUAACUAGAAUUUAUAUUGAAACAACUUUUGGAUUUCCCUAUUAAAAUAGGAAAUUGACACGCAAUUUCAAUCUAAUCUCGAGCCCAAAGCCAAACGGCUCUCCAUUUCUCUAUUUCAAAAAAAAAAAAAAAAACCCUCUCUCAUUUCUGAUAAUAUUUAGGAACCCUAGGCCUUUCUCUCUCUAGAAACCGAGAGAGGUCUCUCUCUCCCUAAAAUACAAAGUUCUCGUUUCCUUGUAAUGAAAACCCUAGCCGCACCUCAUCUUCCAUUUCUACUUCAAUGCUUUACCCUCCUCUCUCACAUCAACACAAACCCUUCACUCUUAGCCGCUCCUCCAUAUUCGUUAUUUCUCCAAAGUCAAGCUACAAACCAUGCUCUCUGCAACUGAAAUCACACCGCCUCCAUUGCGUGCACAAGUCUAUAAACAAGUGCAGACUCCGACGGAAGAGCAAUCCCAAUAAAAACAAACCCCAAGUAAAAAUCUCUAAUGGUUGCCAUUGAGUUAUAUUGGGUUUAUUUUUAUGGAAAAGUCAACAAACUAACACAUGCACGCAUUUUUUUCUACGCGAGCUCUCGGAUCCACAACAAGAGAAACACACCAACACCCAAUCUUCACAAAUCCAUAGCCAAUCGUCCAAGAAUCCUCCCAUCUGCAGGAUCUGACUCCGACGUCUUGGAUAACGGCAUAACAAAGGAAAUGCUCGGACUGCACAGAUCCGUUGUGAACUGGAAGAUAAAGCACAUGAGGCAUGGAUCCAAAAUAAAAGAUCCAUUGGUGGUAACCAAACAAAAAACAAAGGAGAACCGCUCAAUGACAAAGAAUCCAUGUAAAAAGAAGGUAACAUAUCAUGUGUUAAUGUGUUUGAGCUCCGAUCUGUGUGAAAUCACUUAGGACACUCGGAUUCGUGAUAUAUCCGAGAGAAAAAUUGCUCAAGCUGCAGAUUCAUUUGACAAAAAGACAAACACGCUUCCAAGUUGCAGCGGCUUCAGAUUUGAAAGGUAUAAAUCCUCAUCUCUGCUGGAAUCCAUGUUGGAUAUGUAAAUUUAUGUACAUGAGUAUGGCAUGCAUGUAUUAUCUGUGAGAUCACCCCCAAACUUAAUACAAGUAAUAAUUGGAGACAAUAAUUACUGAACAAAAAUAAAUAAAAAGCUUAGAUCUGUAUGGGGACCAUUUGGACUUCAAACACUGCUUAAUAAAUAAGAAAAUUAAGCAUAUUUCACAGACAAAAAACAAAACAAUGAUAAAACUAGAAAGCAUAGUAGAGCCGAGUGAGAAAUUACUUGUACACUCCGUUACUAUCUUCUGAAAAAGCUUCCAGCUUUCAUCUUUACUUUGUAGACGAGAUUUGUGGUUCAAACCAUUUAUGUUUGUAAAGGGAGCUACUUUUGAGCAACGGCUGGUGAGUAGUAUUUGGCUUUUAUUUCUGCAUCUAUUGGAAAUCUAGAUUUCAAAGAGUUCCAUGCGUCACAACUCCAAAUGUCAUUAAGCAUCACCAAACAUUUCAUUUCUCGUUGGAUGAUGCAAAGCUUCAUCAAGCCUUGUCUUUGGUUUGGUAAGAUUAUUCUUUUUGUACCCUUUAUUUUGAUUGGAAGAUUGCUCGCUGCCCUGUGGACAUAGGCAUAAAUUGUCUAACCACGUAAAUCCUGGGUGUCUAUCUUUCUACUUUACUUUGAGGUUUUUUCUCUAUCAUGUAGUACUGUCAAUCUUAAUAGUCUAAGUACAAUAACGAGUGAGCGUGUUAUUUUA